rnacentral:lncRNA from 1 species
AAUCUGAUCAGCCAGAGCGACGUGUCAGGAGUCCGCAUUGUACAUUAAUGACUGAUAGGACACGUGAGGUGACGCUGUGCGCCCUCAUCCGUUCUGUGCUUUCCAUCACGCAGGUUCCUUGCACCCUCAGCUGACAGAUUUGCUGUCCUCAUGAAGCGAGGGCCAUGCUUUCACAUUCAGGACUGCAGAUUGCGAAGUCAUCCCAUGUCAGAUUGUAAGCGCCAUUGCUGUUGCAAUCUGCAGGCACCACUUUGAGCAGAAGGAGACCACCAGGUUGAUGACAGUGACAAUCACUUGCUGGGGCUACGGCAGCAGUCAGAAGCUCAUCACACAUCAGUGAGAUGGGGAUCCCUUACCUCCGGAGCUUUUACAAACUGGCCCCUUGGCCUGAACCGGGACAGGGCCUGAUGAGGAUUGAUGCAGGGUUGCCCGUGAUCCCCAGUAUCCAAUCUACCGCAGCAACUUGAUGCGCUGGUGCAGACUUGAAGUGACUUCAAAGUUGGCAGAAUGGAAGCACCGUCAGCCUGAGUGAGCUGUUGAGCCGCAGCCACGACAGCUGCAGUAGCUCGUAUUUGGCCGGGGGGCGGCUGCUUCUGGGCAGCAAUUGUGCACGAGUGAACUUGAGCAGCCUGGCGUCUGACAAAUGUGACCUGAUGGCCAGGCACGUUCCACAAGCUGUG